AAGUCGAGCGAACAGACGAGGAGCUUGCUCCUCUGACGUUAGCGGCGGACGGGUGAGUAACACGUGGAUAACCUACCUAUAAGACUGGGAUAACUUCGGGAAACCGGAGCUAAUACCGGAUAAUAUAUUGAACCGCAUGGUUCAAUAGUGAAAGACGGUUUUGCUGUCACUUAUAGAUGGAUCCGCGCCGCAUUAGCUAGUUGGUAAGGUAACGGCUUACCAAGGCAACGAUGCGUAGCCGACCUGAGAGGGUGAUCGGCCACACUGGAACUGAGACACGGUCCAGACUCCUACGGGAGGCAGCAGUAGGGAAUCUUCCGCAAUGGGCGAAAGCCUGACGGAGCAACGCCGCGUGAGUGAUGAAGGUCUUCGGAUCGUAAAACUCUGUUAUUAGGGAAGAACAAAUGUGUAAGUAACUAUGCACGUCUUGACGGUACCUAAUCAGAAAGCCACGGCUAACUACGUGCCAGCAGCCGCGGUAAUACGUAGGUGGCAAGCGUUAUCCGGAAUUAUUGGGCGUAAAGCGCGCGUAGGCGGUUUUUUAAGUCUGAUGUGAAAGCCCACGGCUCAACCGUGGAGGGUCAUUGGAAACUGGAAAACUUGAGUGCAGAAGAGGAAAGUGGAAUUCCAUGUGUAGCGGUGAAAUGCGCAGAGAUAUGGAGGAACACCAGUGGCGAAGGCGACUUUCUGGUCUGUAACUGAUGCUGAUGUGCGAAAGCGUGGGGAUCAAA
rnacentral:rRNA from 1 species